rnacentral:rRNA from 1 species
UACGAAGGGGGCUAGCGUUGCUCGGAUUGACUGGGCGUAAAGGGCGCGUAGGCGGCACUGUUAGUCAGGCGUGAAAGUCCUGGGCUCAACCUGGGAACUGCGCUUGAUACGGCAGAGCUAGAGGAUGGAAGAGGGUCGCGGAAUUCCCAGUGUAGAGGUGAAAUUCGUAGAUAUUGGGAAGAACACCGGUGGCGAAGGCGGCGACCUGGUCCAUUACUGACGCUGAGGCGCGACAGCGUGGGGAGCAAACAGG